rnacentral:rRNA from 1 species
AUUGAACGCUGGCGGCAGGCCUAACACAUGCAAGUCGAACGGUAGCACAGAGAGCUUGCUCUCGGGUGACGAGUGGCGGACGGGUGAGUAAUGUCUGGGAAACUGCCUGAUGGAGGGGGAUAACUACUGGAAACGGUAGCUAAUACCGCAUAACGUCGCAAGACCAAAGAGGGGGACCUUCGGGCCUCUUGCCAUCAGAUGUGCCCAGAUGGGAUUAGCUAGUAGGUGGGGUAACGGCUCACCUAGGCGACGAUCCCUAGCUGGUCUGAGAGGAUGACCAGCCACACUGGAACUGAGACACGGUCCAGACUCCUACGGGAGGCAGCAGUGGGGAAUAUUGCACAAUGGGCGCAAGCCUGAUGCAGCCAUGCCGCGCGUAUGAAGAAGGCCUUCGGGUUGUAAAGUACUUUCAGCGGGGAGGAAGGUGUUGUGGUUAAUAACCACAGCAAUUGACGUACC